UACAGAGGUCCCAAGCGUUGUUCGGAUUCAUUGGGCGUAAAGGGUGCGUAGGCGGCGCGGUAAGUCGGGUGUGAAAUCUCGGGGCUUAACUCCGAAACUGCAUUCGAUACUGCCGUGCUUGAGGACUGGAGAGGAGACUGGAAUUUACGGUGUAGCGGUGAAAUGCGUAGAUAUCGUAAGGAAGACCAGUGGCGAAGGCGACUACCUGGCCUGUUCUUGACGCUGAGGCGCGAAAGCUAGGGGAGCAAACGGG
rnacentral:rRNA from 1 species